GGAUGACUUGUGGCUGGGGGUGAAAGGCCAAUCAAACCGGGAGAUAGCUGGUUCUCCCCGAAAGCUAUUUAGGUAGCGCCUCGUGAACUCAUCUUCGGGGGUAGAGCACUGUUUCGGCUAGGGGGUCAUCCCGACUUACCAACCCGAUGCAAACUACGAAUACCGAAGAAUGUUAUCACGGGAGACACACGGCGGGUGCUAACGUCCGUCGUGAAGAGGGAAACAACCCAGACCGCCAGCUAAGGUCCCAAAGUCAUGGUUAAGUGGGAAACGAUGUGGGAAGGCACAGACAGCCAGGAUGUUGGCUUAGAAGCAGCCAUCAUUUAAAGAAAGCGUAAUAGCUCACUGGUCGAGUCGGCCUGCGCGGAAGAUGUAACGGGGCUAAACCAUGCACCGAAGCUGCGGCAGCGACACUAUGUGUUGUUGGGUAGGGGAGCG
rnacentral:rRNA from 1 species